CAGCAUAAUUACACGGGAGAUAAAGAACAUCUAAGGAAAAAAAAAAAAAAAAAAACUUAUUUCAGUAACGAAUGCAAAAUUUCAGUCGGGGCACAUUAGCAAUGACAUGCUGAGCUCACAUGAGAAGAACAACGCCUGAAUUUACUGGAAACAUUGCAGUAAGGAUUCUUUUAUGACCGUAUGCCACAUUUGGGUGAAUUUCACUGGGGCUGGAUGACUUCUGAACUUCGGGAAUCUUUUCAGAAUAUGAAGUCUCCUGAAGUCAAUGGAGUUGAAGAAACAGAACUGAAUUUCACAUUCUUGAUUCCAGUGACAUUAUCUUGGACUUAACGUCAGUGAAGUUGAAAGCACACAGUCAUUUAGCUGAAUAUUGCCAAGAGGAAAGAUCAUGGUGAGCUGCUAAUAUUUGUUUCUGGAAACAAUCCAGGAAUGAUGCAGAAGCCAGAUUUUUACAAAGCUUUGUAACCAUCCUUCAGACACACUAUGUGGGUCAAGGUACCAGGCAAUAAUAGAAGUCAAAUGGGUCCGAGACCAUUUUAAUCUUGUCUGAUCCAAUGACUUUCUCUAUACUAUUGGUCAUUUCACAUGAACUUCUUGAAUCAGUUUCAGGACAGCUAUGAAAGCAGGUAUAAGACUAACUUAAGAAACAUUUAGGAUCCAGAAGCCAGGUUAAACAACAUAUAUUCAAUUUUUCUGCCAGUCACUAAAACUGAGAUAUUUUCACAUAGAAAUUAAACUGUUGGCAAUGCAGUCUGAGAAGGUGUUAAAUGCAUCCUACAGCAUGGUGAAGGUCAUCAGCCACCAGUGUACAGCACUGUACUGGCUCCAGCUGUAAAGUUACCAUUCUUUCUGUUCUGACAGGCACAUCAGAACUCUGCAAUACACUAUUUUUGAUAAGGAAAAGGCUUGUGGGCUGAGAAAUUGUUGUAGAAAGGAAGUCAGAAUUCUUGCUCUCAGAAUGCAUAGUGGCUUCAACUGUCUAAAUAACUGUUUAAAAGCAUGGAAUUUAAGACUAAUCCACCCCCAGAAUUAUUUCCUGGUUCCCUCCCAUUCACAAGGAUGUUUCUUCCUUCUAGUACAGAUGAUCAGAAAAUAUUAUGACACUUCAGAGGAACUUGGAAAUCCCUAACUUUGCUUUUACAGUAUUGCUCAGGUGCUCACUAUCUGCCUAAAUGAAGUAGUUUCUGGAAAAAAAAAAAAAAAAAAAAAAAAAAGUUGUCUGUAGAUGUAUAUACGCUAGUGCAUGUGAAUUUCCUUCCUGCCUCACCACUGAAAGCGGAACACAUUACUCAUCCGUUUGCCAUAUUCAGAUCUGGUAAACUCUGAGCAAAUUCUUUUGUUAAUGUUUGAAUAAACGAAUGUAACAGGGUUCGGGGGAAUUAUCCAACCUAUAUCAGAUACAUGAUGGACGUCUUUUGAAUUAUAUAAUUGUUUAUUUUUCUGCCAGUAAAACUGGGCAAGAGUCUUUUCAAACUGACUGUGCAAGUGGUUCAAGAAAUUCAUAUGUCUGGUUGGAUUAAUAGUAUAAUAUAAGUCACAAAACCACUGUUCAUAAUCCAAGGAAAGCACUGCAUAAACAUUGUGCCUUCUGCUUGCUCACUGCACUCAGAGGCCAGUGAAAUCUAGAUGUUUGACCUGGAAAAGAUCAAAGCCAAAGUAAAGCCCUUAAAUUCUUAUCCUGGAAGUUGAAGUUAAUUACUAACAAAUAUUCCUUCUGAAGGUUGUGGCUAUGACUUUGUCAGCAGAUGAUGCCUCAGACAUUGACCUCUUUAUCAAGGUGAACUUAAUCAACCCAGAUAAUUUGUUGUUUAUCUGAUGGAAUGCUGGAAUGGAGCUUUAAUGACAGUCUUUUUAAAUUCCAACUGCUGUGUAAAUAUCAUAAAAACUAAAUAUGUAAAAAUAUGGCCUCAUUCCAGGCAGGAAACUAUUGUCCUUUUUGAUUAACUAAAUGAAGAGAAGUGAAUGACUCUCAUGUCAAUGAAGAAAAAAUAAGGAAAUAAAUAAAUUCAGUAUCAUGA